GUGUCUGCUGAGCUAUCCGGAUGCCCAGAACCUCCAGCUGCAAGCUGGCUUCUUGGGAUGAUGGCCCCGGCACCCAGCCCUCUUACUCUGGUGGGCUGCUGCCCUGGCGAUUGAUUUUUAAAAAAUGUGUUCUGUGCUGACUCCACUCUGUUCUGUAGCAUCCCUCUCUCCGGUACCACGGCUCCUUCCUGCAAGCUGGUCUGGCCAGAGACCAAGGGAGAAGCAUAUGUCUCAUACAUGGGGGCUUGGGGGGGAAGGGAGGAGCCAGCCAACCACCUGGAGUCAUGCCAUGCCUCUGUCUCCCACCUCCCCUGGAACCCAGGUCCCCAUCCCAGCCGAUUUCAUUGGCAUCCUCGGACUAAAAGCAUCCAUAGCUGGGCCAAGUGACCCACACACAGGCAUAGGAGAGCUUAACAGGGCUGGAAAUUUUUUGAAGACCCCAAAAUACAUUAUUGUAUUACCAUAUUUAGUUACUGUGAAACUUUACAAACUUUUUUUCAGUCAUGAAAAGGAAUUCAUACUUGUUACAACAUUCGAAAUAAGAUCAGAGUUGGCUGAAGAUAAGACAUGCCCUCUGACCCCUCCUCUCCUCUGUCCCCUGCCACUCCCCACAGAAGCCAGUCUGGGCUGUAUCUGUCCAGAUGUUUUCUGUGCUUGCUCGUUGGAGCCUCGCCACAAUUCCACGAGAUGGGCAGGUCUGAGAGCAAAGUUGCCAGUUCACAGGGGAGCAACAUGGGGGCCCAGGUCUAGCAUCAAGAGCAGAGGGCCUGGAAGUGAAUGGGGCUGAAGGACAGCGAGGUCUCCAGUUCCAGGACGGUCUCCGGUCCAGAAACCAGGGAAUUGGAGGGCAGUGUGCGCAGACUUGACAAUCACGGAACAAGACCACACAGAUCCCCUCUCCACCUAUAGAAGAAAAGAUAUGACCUUUCAUCAAAGCUAUUUGACCUUGAUGAAAAACAUGC
rnacentral:lncRNA from 1 species